rnacentral:hammerhead_ribozyme from 1 species
AUCCAAAUGAUGAGUCCCAAAUAGGACGGGAUGCGCGUCCUACAU